rnacentral:rRNA from 1 species
GAUGAACGCUGGCUACAGGCUUAACACAUGCAAGUCGUGGGGAAACGGCAUUAUGUGCUUGCACAUUCUGGACGUCGACCGGCGCACGGGUGAGUAUCGCGUAUCCAACCUGCCCCUUACUUGGGGAUACCCCGUUGAAAGACGGCCUAAUACCCGAUGUGUUUCAUUGACGGCAUCCGAUAUGAAACAAAGGUUUUUCCGGUAAGGGAUGGGGAUGCGUCUGAUUAGCUUGUUGGCGGGGCAACGGCCCACCAAGGCGACGAUCAGUAGGGGUUCUGAGAGGAAGGUCCCCCACAUUGGAACUGAGACACGGUCCAAACUCCUACGGGAGGCAGCAGUGAGGAAUAUUGGUCAAUGGACGCAAGUCUGAACCAGCCAAGUAGCGUGCAGGAUGACGGCCCUAUGGGUUGUAAACUGCUUUUAUGUGGGAAUAAAGUGGCGCACGUGUGCGCCAUUGCAUGUAC